CCUACGGGCGGCAGCAGUGAGGAAUAUUGGACAAUGGGCGCGAGCCUGAACCAGCCAAGUAGCGUGAAGGAUGAAGGCCCUACGGGUUGAAAACUGCUGUUAUAAAGGAAAAAAGUGAGGCACGUGUGCAGGUUUGUAUGUACUGUAUGAAUAAGGAUCGGCUAACUCCGUGCCAGCAGCCGCGGUAAUACGGAGGAUCCGAGCGUUAUCCGGAUUUAUUGGGUUUAAAGGGAGCGUAGAUGGGUUGUUAAGUCAGUUGGGACAGUUUGCGGCUCAACCGUAAAAUUGCAAUUGAUACUGGCAGCCUUGAGUACAGUUGAGGUCGGCGGCAUUCGUGUUGUAGCGGUGAAAUGCUUCGAUCU
rnacentral:rRNA from 1 species